GUCAUUCGAGUUUGUUGGUCUCCAAGUCCGCCCUCUGCCUUAAAAAAAAAGGAAAGAGAAGCGAGGCGUCAAAAGAAAACACAACUAUAAGAAAAUGAUUGCUUGACGCAUCGUUUCAAAUUCAUUGAGAUUUGAACCCCAAGAUAUUUGUGAGAGGAUGGCUCUCAAGUUUUGAUUUAUGGCAAGUAAGACGUCUUCCGGUUUCGAGGCUUCCAUAUACAAAAUGUUUGGUGAAGUCGCGCAAAUCUGAAAUUGUGGGUGAUCAGAAUUUAGUAUUGACUUCGAAAUAUUAUAUAAAUGUAUCCGUAAGGCAUUAAAUCUUGACUUUUCGAUAUGUUAUAUAUUUUGAAGUUACAUUUCCAGCAAAUUAAAUGGUUCAUAAUUUCGACGUUCCUACUUCAAAAUACAAAACUUUUAGCGAAUUCACGUAAAUCUGAAAUUUUCAACGUGGUGGAACCUAAAGUUGAAUUCAAAAUAUUAUCUUGGAUGAUUCUGAAGUUAUUUGAUUGAGAAUUUUGGAUAUGUUCUAGAUAUUGAAGCCUAGAUUUCAAAAAAUUAAACGGUUUGUAAUUUCAACAUUUCUACACCAAGAUAUUAAUUUCUUAGUGAGAC
rnacentral:lncRNA from 1 species